GACCCUCUUUGGGGGCGUGCUUAACACAUGCAAGUCGAACGGAGUUUAUAGGAAGCUUGCUUCUUGUAAACUUAGUGGCGAACGGGUGAGUAACGCGUAACCAACCUGCCCUUCAGAGGGGGAUAACAACGGGAAACCGUUGCUAAUACCGCGUGCGUAUGAACUUCGGCAUCGAAGCUCAUUGAAAGGUGGCCUCUAUUUAUAAGCUAUCGCUGAAGGAGGGGGUUGCGUCUGAUUAGCUAGUUGGAGGGGUAACGGCCCACCAAGGCAAUGAUCAGUAGCCGGUCUGAGAGGAUGAACGGCCACAUUGGGACUGAGACACGGCCCAAACUCCUACGGGAGGCAGCAGUGGGGAAUCUUCCGCAAUGGACGAAAGUCUGACGGAGCAACGCCGCGUGAGUGAUGACGGCCUUCGGGUUGUAAAGCUCUGUUAAUCGGGACGAAUGGUCCUUGUGUGAAUAAUGCAAGGAUUUGACGGUACCGGAAUAGAAAGCCACGGCUAACUACGCGCCAGCAGCCGCGGUAAUACGUAGGUGGCAAGCGUUGUCCGGAAUUAUUGGGCGUAAAGCGCGCGCAGGCGGUUUCAUAAGUCUGUCUUAAAAGUGCGGGGCUUAACCCCGUGAGGGGAUGGAAACUAUGGAACUGGAGUAUCGGAGAGGAAAGCGGAAUUCCUAGUGUAGCGGUGAAAUGCGUAGAUAUUAGGAAGAACACCAGUGGCGAAGGCGGCUUUCUGGACGACAACUGACGCUGAGGCGCGAAAGCCAGGGGAGCGAACGGGAGUAGAUACCCCGGUAGUCCUGGCCGUAA
rnacentral:rRNA from 1 species